GGGAAAACAUUUUCUAAGACUUAAAUUUUGCAAAACAAGCAAGUGCAAAGGGUUUGGCCGAUUUAGUUUACCUCUUGCCUAUGUUGCAUGUUUGUUUUGCUUUGCUUCCUUGAUUUGCACUAACUGAACAAGACCUAAAUGGAAAUGCAUUUUUUUGCUGUUUGUUUGCACCUAUCUAAUAAGCAAAGAUUAGGAGCCUUUGGAAAGGUCUUGCUGGUGGUAGCUUGUGCCCCAACUCUUUCCAAUUUAAUGCAAGAAAGGAACUUGGGUUUUCAACAGGGCAGCAUGCAUGGCAGCCUCUCUCAAAAUUUUUUCCCUAUUUUCUCCUUUUCCUUUCAAUUGUCCUCUCCUACACACUCUGGCAUGUGCACAACACACGUGCACACAUGCACACCCACACAGACACACCAGGGUGGUAAUUUUAAUCACACUUGCAAAUUAAAAUCUUUUCUACUCCUGAUGUAGUUAUAAUGACCAACUAAUGUAAUCUCUCCCUGUCCUCAUCUCUCCAUCAAAUGUCUCUUUUGUUCCUUCUCAACCCUCUUAUCUCUAUCAUGGAGGACCAACAGAAGUUGUAGACAAGUGGUUUAAUAUGUUACUGUUGGUCCAGUGGGCCUGACUUGGCCUGGAAAUCAUGAUGGUCCAUGUUUCAUGCAUAUACUUAUGAUUGGAUCUCCAAAUAUAUAUUACAAUUAAAAUAUAUACAAUGCUUGAGAUGCAAUUAUCAUUCGAAAUAAUCCAUCAACAAUGGCUGGGAUUGUUUGAUAGAUGAGAUUUUUGGUUCACUGCCCAUCCAUUGGCACCAAAUGAAUAAUCUGGAUCAUUGAAAAGGAUGCCCCAGAUGUCCAGCAUUGCUUGAUUUUUGAACCAAUGCAUGUUAAUAGUGGAGUUCAAAUAUUGAACUGCUAAUUUCAGCGGUCACAUUUGUUAUGCACUCACUCAUGGUAUAUUUCCCUGCUAGUUUCCAUAUGAAAGAUAAGUUACAUGUAACCAUCUUUGCUCUAAAUAAUGCCUAUCUGAUAAUCACAUAGGUUGAUAGGCUUAUUUACAAUGUCCUUAGGAGCAGGCUGGUUUGAACAGGUCCUAGAGUGCUCCUUUUAAGGUGAAGAGAAGCAGCAUUGGGAGUGUCUAUCUCAAGUUCUUGAGAUGAUUUCUCCUUGAAUUUAUAUCAAUCCAUGGUCCAGCAAGAAUGGUAACUCAACUCAAGAAUUGUAAAUCUAGUGCCUUGCUCUGAGUACUGCUUAUAUACUUGCUACAAUGUCAUGGCACUUUAAAUUUCAUGUGGAGAGAAAAAACUUGAAAUUCAAGGAAAUAUGCUCAGACAAUGGAGAUAUUAUGUAUGUGAUGCUGUAUACGAGAUCUGAUUCAUAUCAUGUCUUAGGCCUUGUAAGCAGAUUCUGGAUUAACCUUGGAAUGCCUCAUUGCCUUUGCUACUGUGCUGUGCAUUAGUAAGGUAAGAACCCUAAUGAUGUGGUAUUUGAGCCAUGUCAUUGUGAGCAUGCCAAGGAAGGAAAUGCGAGGAGAACUUGGAAGAAACCAUGGGCUAAGUGAACAUGAGUUUGACCUGAUCCAACAAUGGGGAUGACACAGAGACUGCAGAGUUAGUUGUUGGGAGCUCAAAUGAGCACUGUGAUGAAUGGAUUCAACCACCUUUUGCUUAAAUUAAUUUUCUGCACUUUGAUAGACAUUCCAUUGGAGUUCAUUUAUAAAUCCAAACAUUUUUUUUUCAUGAUCAUUGUAGGAUCAAGAAUGAGAAGGCUCUCCUGGCCAAAUUCCACAUGGAAGGAGUAGCAUCAAGAUAGUUUCAAUGGUAUAGUUGUAUCAAUUUAGACCUCAUAGGGAGAAACAUGACCGUAACCUUAUUAGUU